UUUUGCAUCAUGAUCUAGCCAGUAAACCCAAGCAAAGAGCCCUCUAGUUUGACCCCCCGAAACCGGACGAGCUACUCCGGGACAGCCUAUUGCAGGGCCAACCCGUCUCUGUGGCAAAAGAGUGGGAAGAUCCCCGAGUAGAGGUGAAAGACCUACCGAGCCCGGUUAUAGCUGGUUGCCCAAGAAAUGAAUAGAAGUUCAGCCCCGCCAAGCCCUCACCCAAAACAGUUUUACUCAAAUUAGGCGCUAGAAGAUAUACUGCGGGAGUUAGUUAAAGGAGGUACAGCUCCCUUAACAAAGGACACAACCUUUACAGGAGGCUAAGGAAUACACUAAAUAAAGGCCACAGGUUUCAGUGGGCCUAAAAGCAGCCAUCUGGACAGAAAGCGUUAAAGCUCAGACCAAAUAAAGCCUAUUAUAACAUUAAAAACCUUCAAUGCCCCUACCAAUACUGGGCCCCCCUAUGCUCGCAUAGGAGAGACCAUGCUAGAACGAGUAGUAAGAAGAAUGAACUUCUCCCCGCACAUGUGUAAGUCGAAUCGGACCCACCAUCGACAAUUAACGAACCCAAUAAAAGAGGGAAAUGCACCAUCGCCACACCAGGCCAGGAAAACCACGCAAACCUUCAUCGUUACCCCCACACAGGAGUGCUUUAAUAAAGGAAAGACUUAAAGAAUAAAAAGGAACUCGGCAAACCUAA
rnacentral:rRNA from 1 species